CAGCCGCCGCGGUAAUACGAAGGGUGCAAGCGUUAAUCGGAAUUACUGGGCGUAAAGCGUGCGUAGGUGGUGGUUUAAGUCCGUUGUGAAAGCCCUGGGCUCAACCUGGGAAUUGCAGUGGAUACUGGGUCACUAGAGUGUGGUAGAGGAUAGUGGAAUUUCCGGAGUAGCAGUGAAAUGCGUAGAUAUGCGGAGGAACACCGAUGGCGAAGGCAGCCCCCUGGGCCAACACUGACGCUCAUGCACGAAAGCGUGGGGAGCAAACAGGAUUAGAUACCCCCGUAGUCCCUGUCUCUUAUAA
rnacentral:rRNA from 1 species